rnacentral:rRNA from 1 species
GAAGGAGGGGGCAAGCGUUUUCCGGACUCACUGGGCGUAAAGCGUGCGUAGGUGGUGCGAUGCGUCGGCGCUGAAAGCGCCCGGCUUAACCGGGCGACGGGCGACGAUACGAUCGCACUGGAGGCAGGGAGACGUUGGUGGAAUUACGGGUGUAGUGGUGAAAUGCGUAGAGAUCCGGAGGAAUGCCGGUGGCGUAAGCGGCCAACGAGUCCUGACCUGACACUGAGGCACGAAAGCGUGGGGAGCAAACCGG